GACGAACGCCGGCGGCGUGCGUAUACAUGCAAGUAGAACGCUGAAGGAGGAGCUUGCUUCUCUGGAUGAGUUGCGAACGGGUGAGUAACGCGUAGGUAACCUGCCUGGUAGCGGGGGAUAACUAUUGGAAACGAUAGCUAAUACCGCAUAAUAGUAGAUGUUGCAUGACAUUUACUUAAAAGGUGCAAUUGCAUCACUACCAGAUGGACCUGCGUUGUAUUAGCUAGUUGGUGGGGUAACGGCUCACCAAGGCGACGAUACAUAGCCGACCUGAGAGGGUGAUCGGCCACACUGGGACUGAGACACGGCCCAGACUCCUACGGGAGGCAGCAGUAGGGAAUCUUCGGCAAUGGACGGAAGUCUGACCGAGCAACGCCGCGUGAGUGAAGAAGGUUUUCGGAUCGUAAAGCUCUGUUGUAAGAGAAGAACGAGUGUGAGAGUGGAAAGUUCACACUGUGACGGUAUCUUACCAGAAAGGGACGGCUAACUACGUGCCAGCAGCCGCGGUAAUACGUAGGUCCCGAGCGUUGUCCGGAUUUAUUGGGCGUAAAGCGAGCGCAGGCGGUUAGAUAAGUCUGAAGUUAAAGGCUGUGGCUUAACCAUAGUACGCUUUGGAAACUGUUUAACUUGAGUGCAAGAGGGGAGAGUGGAAUUCCAUGUGUAGCGGUGAAAUGCGUAGAUAUAUGGAGGAACACCGGUGGCGAAAGCGGCUCUCUGGCUUGUAACUGACGCUGAGGCUCGAAAGCGUGGGGAGCAAACAGG
rnacentral:rRNA from 1 species